rnacentral:rRNA from 1 species
ACGUAGGUCACAAGCGUUGUCCGGAAUUACUGGGUGUAAAGGGAGCGCAGGCGGGCGAUCAAGUUGGAAGUGAAAUCCAUGGGCUCAACCCAUGAACUGCUUUCAAAACUGGUCGUCUUGAGUAGUGCAGAGGUAGGCGGAAUUCCCGGUGUAGCGGUGGAAUGCGUAGAUAUCGGGAGGAACACCAGUGGCGAAGGCGGCCUACUGGGCACCAACUGACGCUGAGGCUCGAAAGUGUGGGUAGCAAACAG